UCCAUCCCUGAUGACCGAUCCCUAAUGCCUCUCAUAAGGGUCAGCCAGAGAGCGUCAGCAUAAAGCUCUGAAGAUUUUCUGUGAUUGGUUGAUUGUGACAAUGACAAAAGAAUAAGCUAUAGAAAGGAUUUUCUAAAUAACGAAGCAAGAACAAUAUUCCUUUUAUUUAUGUAAGCCAAUUACGUCUUUUGUCAUUGUCAUAAUCAACCAGUCACAGAACAUCUUCCUAGAGCUUCGUGUUUACUGUUUACUAAGCACACUGGCUAGGACCAUGGCGUCAGCAUUUUGAUGACAAAUUACAGUUAUGCCAAAAUCAUAGGAAAAACCAAAAAGUCAACCUUCUGUUUUGUCUCUAUUCCGUGGCCGAGCAAAAAAGAUUUCCACGAGCGAGCUUUCAAAACUUUUCCAAGCUAUGAGACAACAUGAGACAAAUACCACGCAUUUUUGAGAUGCCUAUAUAUGAUGACGUUGACAAACGUAAGUUUCAUAAAUUUCAACAAAGGAAAUUCUUUCAGAGAUUUAUUACCUUUCUGAUUACAAACUUGUCAUCUGCAGCUAAUUUGUAAAAUCCAGAAAAUAUUGCGGUUGACUGGUAAAGCCCAUUUUCCACUAGGCAGAUUUGUUCACGCGAACAAAUUCGUCCAACGGAAUAUGGGCUAAAAUUCAUGUAUUUGUUUGGAAUUUUCCCAAUCAAGGCGAUCGCUCAUUUUGAAAUUGUGUUUAUGUGUGUUUAAAAUUUUAUAUGUGUUUUAUAUUCGAAUAUACCAACAGCUACAAUACUACCUAUUAUUUUUCAUUGGAUUUUAGAGAACUGUGCAGUGUGUAGUAGGAAAUAAGUAAGCAUUUCAAAAGGCAAUUAUACCACAUCGAAACGUUCACUGCUGUGGAUCAAUCAAAAAUAUUAUCCUCAUUAGGAACUCAUUUGGAAGGUUUUAACUGGACGAUAUGAAAGAACAGGCCCUAGUCGACUUUAUAACAAAAUAAAACUCUUACCUUUUUGUUUACACACGCUGAUAUUCUGCUUUCAACUUCUGCAUUCGUCAAUCUUUCAACAUGGUUUCAAUUAGAGACCUUUAGAUAGAUGUUUACGGCAAACGUCAAACCGCUAUUAACGAAGUGUUUGAUACUGAUUAAUAAUACAACUCUAUUAUAACAGCUUUUACACCAUCCAGUUUUGAAAUAUAUUAAACAAUUAUUAAUUAACCACUAGUCACGUAUUCACCAAAUAAAUGACCAAAGCACAAACACAGAGGAGAGAUGUUGAAGUUGAAGUUGACG